UACGGGGGGGGCAAGCGUUGUUCGGAAUUACUGGGCGUAAAGGGCGCGUAGGCUGCUCGCUAAGUCGGAUGUGAAAACCUCUGGGCUCAACCCAGAGCCUGCAUUCGAAACUGACGAGCUAGAGUUCUGGAGGGGAAAGCGGAAUUCCUGGUGUAGCGGUGAAAUGCGUAGAUAUCAGGAGGAACACCGGUGGCGAAGGCGGCUUUCUGGGACAGAAACUGACGCUGAGGCGCGAAAAGCUAGGGGAGCAAACAGG
rnacentral:rRNA from 1 species